UACGAAGGGUGCAAGCGUUACUCGGAAUUACUGGGCGUAAAGCGUGCGUAGGUGGUUUGUUAAGUCCGAUGUGAAAGCCCUGGGCUCAACCUGGGAAUGGCAUUGGAUACUGUCGUGCUAGAGUGCGGAAGGGGCUACUGGAAUUCUCGGUGUAGCGGUGAAAUGCGUAGAUAUCGAGAGGAACACCUGCGGCGAAGGCGGGUAGCUGGGCCGACACUGACGCUGAGGCGCGAAAGCCAGGGGAGCGAACGGG
rnacentral:rRNA from 1 species